GGAUGCGAUCAUACCAGCACUAAAGCACCGUAUCCCAUCAGAACUCCGAAGUUAAGCGUGCUUGGGCGAGAGUAGUACUAGGAUGGGUGACCUCCUGGGAAGUCCUUGUGUUGCAUUCC
rnacentral:rRNA from 1 species